rnacentral:lncRNA from 1 species
AUGGACACGAUCUACAACUAUCUGCGCAUCUUUGCUGUUCGUGUUUACAACUUCUUCCAUACUAACGAAGAAUUAAUUCCCAACCUGGCUCAGAAUUUCUAUUCUUAUGUACUUGUGCCGACUCAAUGGUCCCUGUGGCAGAUACUACUUAUGAUGAAGACCUGUAUUGUGACAUUUAUUACCAUUCUGCUUCCCAUGGCUCGUGGCUUCACUCUCCACCUACUAAGACACCUGAGACACGAAAGACUAAUGUCCAUACUUAACGGGACACAAUGGGCCUACUAUGGCCUGGUCUUCUUUUACCAAGAAAACAGUUAUGAGGUAGUUCUAAAGACCAUUAUAUGCCAUCUGUUUUUCACCUUGAUAAUAUCAUGUCUGCGAGGGAUCUGGGCUUUGAUUCACCAUCUUGCCAGAGCGAUGAGACACAUUCAGGUUGGAGAAAAUAACGUUCGUCGGUGGGCCAGAAGUCCUAGGCAUCGUCGGAAUCUAGAGGUUGUCAGGUUACGUUUGCAGAGAUCUUCACCCCCAAUCCGGGCAGUCCAGCCUUUUCAAAUCAAUCCAGCAGAACCUGAUUUGCUUCAAUUUCCAGUCAACCAAAUGCCCAGGCAACCUCAAUUCCCAAGCAUUCCCAAUUACAACAUCCGGCAGAGGCAACAUCGGGUGAGGGAGCUGGAGAGGCAGAGGCGACAACAGCAGGAGCAGCGACAACAGCAAGAGCAGCGACAACAGCAGGAGCAGCGACAACAGCAGGAGCAGCGACAACAGCAGGAGCAGCGACAACAGCAGGAGCAGGGACAACAGCAAGAACAGCGACAACAGCAGGAGCAGGGACAACAGCAGGAGCAGGGACAACAGCAGGAGCAGGUGCAACAGGUACAGCAGGAGGUACAGCAGGAACAGCAGGAGGUACAACAGGAACAGCAGCGGGAGGAGCAGGCCCUCGUGCCAGCUAAUAAUUCCCAGCAGAGCCCUCCUUGUGCCUAUUCCAUCCACACUUUUCAGGUUGUACACAUCAGACUGGGGGAGAGAGGCAGGUACUCCAGCAUUCAUGCCACACAGAUCCCUCUGGGCAGUGGUGGUGGCAGCAGCAGGGUGCCAGGUAGAGUGAAGAGGAGACAGAUUGCUCAGCCACCAAGGCAGACCUUCUACCAGCAAGUCCGGAACACCUGCAUUGCCACUAUCCUGUUGCUCUCUUUCUACUAUGCAUUCCACCUGUAUCUGCAGGUCAUCAAUUAA